AUCCACUGCCAAUAUCUAGGGGUCAUUUGUAUUGUCUAUUUCUUCCCAGAGCUUCUUCCCUUCACCAGGUGGACCAUGAAGAUCGCUCACCUGUUCUUGCUGGCUGUGUCUUGGCUGCUCCUGGCUUCUUCAGGGUUGGCCUCCAGACCACGAACCGCGAGGGAGUGUCAUCAAGCCAACGGCAGUUGCAAGUGGUUCGGGUGUACCUUCCCCUUGGUGAGGAGGGGAAAGUGUGGCUUUAUCAAGAAAUGCUGCAUCAGCCAUGAGAACAACUAAAGGGGACAUCAGAUGCCCAGCAGUGAUCGUUCGGAUUAAGGGAGAUGACCUUCUGAUUGACACUCACUGCAUCCUGUUCUGUUUUCUGCUUCUUCCUUUUAAAACCUUGCCUGGCAAUUUCAUCCACCCCGUCGCCAAAACUUGCUUAUUGACCAAACCGUGUAUCAUCUGCAAAGGAAAUCUAUAAGCUUUUUGCCUUUCCAAUAAAGCACAUUGAAAAUGUAAA